GGGCGAAUGGUUUAGUGGUAUAAUACUCCCUUAGCAUGGUUACCCCGCCUGGGAGUGGUCCAGGGUUCGAUUCCCUGUUCGUCCA
rnacentral:tRNA from 1 species